AAGGUGCGAAAUGCCAAAGAAACGCGAUGGACCAAAAAUUUCGUCGAAAUGGAGCGCGCAGACAGAGAAAAUCGUGAGCUGUAUCCAGUGAUGCCAUCGCCAAAAGGGUUACACUGGCUGAACUAGAUAAAGCUCCGAGUCAAGAUGAUGAAACAUGGAAUCUGCGCUUACUCGACAGCCAAAUACACUCGCCGUUGCGUACCCGACGCCAAAACUUUGCUGCCAACAAAAAUUGUGCCAAAGUUGGGCAAGACGGAUCUAUCGAUAUUCCGACAGUUGCAACGCGCCAUGAACGGAGAAGCAUUGGAAGAAAACGAGCGUUUAUUCCCAAAAGUAAAAAGUUACUAUAAAAACUGGGAAUUAAACCAUGAAUGCUCUGUGAUUUGGCAUCGUGACGUCGUGGCUGCUAAGAACAUUCUACUGAAAGGACUAUGGACAUUACUGGGACUUCCGAUACCAGAGGCGAUCAAUAGGUAUUGGCGCGAAGCUGUUGAAGCAGCCGCUAUUGUUGCCACUGCUGCUGUUGCCAUCGUGGAUAAUGACGUAGAAAUGUUCGAGUACGAACAGCAGCCAGCUGAUCAUGCUGUCUAAUCAGCACAACGCAAACAAAAAAAAAAAAACAAAUGUAACAUUAGUUAUGGCUAUCCCGAUCAUGUGGGAUAGUUGCGUAGCAGCAAGUUGACUCCCCAUUUGGUUGAUGUUAACUGCGCAGGAGUACUUUAGUGGGUGUUUUUAGGAAAACACAUGUAUACAUACCGCAAAGCGACUUGCGUUGGAGAUGGACCAAAUUUGGAUCUUGUAGAUGGUUGAGUUUCGUAUCGUCCGUAUCUACCGAGGGUUCCACCCGGUGGAUUCAUGCCGGCUUUCAAACUAGAUCGCAGCAAUGAGUGUCUGUU